GACCUUUAUCAGAGACAGAGAGUCAUGAGAAAGAGGAAGCUGCAAGUUCUACUCAGAAGGAGGCAGAGCAAACUGCCUCUUCCCCCUCUUACGCUGAUCUCCCUGAGGCGGAAACAGAAGACACAGUAGGUGUCGUGGAUUUCUCAAAAGCCGAAAACAGAUGGAUUUUACGUAGAUAUGAACAGCAGCAAAAUUUAUUACGUAAGAGGGAGGAAAGGCGUGACUUGGGAGAGUGAUCCCACGUGGGCUUGAGAAGAGAAGCCAUUAGAGCGUUAACAUCUGCUUCGCAAGGACCGCUAUUAGGGAACUUAUCUAUAGAGUUGUAAAUCUCGUAGACAAUUAGCAUUAAAGGACUUUAGUUUUAUUGCUCUAGAAUGUGUGGAUUGUCUACAUACCGGGCUGCACGCUUCGACACAAGAGGAAAAAAGGUGGGAUA